GGGGACCGGGACAGAUGGGGACAGACGGACAGAUGGCGAUAAGGACAGACAGAUGGACAGGGAUGGGGACAGACAGACAGACACAGAUGGGGACAGACGGACGGACGUGGAUGGGGACAGACAGACACAGGUGGGGACAGACAGACGGACAUGGAGGGGGACAGACGGACAGACGGGGACAGGAACAGAUGGGGACAGACGGAGACAGAUGGGGAUAAGGACAGACAUAUGGACCGGGACAGACAGACGGAUGUGGAGGAGGACAGACGGACAGAUGGGGCCAGAUGGGGAUAAGGACAGACGGACGGACACGGAUGGGGACAGACGGACAGAUGGACGUGGAGGGGGACAGACGGACACGGAUAGGGACAGACAGACGGACAGACGGAGACAGAUGGGGAUAAGGACAGACAGACGGACGUGGAGGGGGACAGACGGACAUAGGGAGAAGGGGACACAGAUGGGGACGGACAGACAGACAGUGAUAAGGACAGAUGGACAUGGAUGGGGACAGACAGACACAGAUGGGGACAGACAGACGGACAGAUGGGGACAGACGGACAGACGGACACGGAUGGGGACAGACAGACAGACAUGGAUGGGGACAGACGGACACAG
ensembl:lncRNA